rnacentral:rRNA from 1 species
CCUACGGGAGGCAGCAGUGAGGAAUAUUGGUCAAUGGACGAGAGUCUGAACCAGCCAAGUAGCGUGAAGGAUGACUGCCCUAUGGUUUGUAAACUUCUUUUAUAGGGGAAUAAAGGUAUCCACGUGUGGAUAUUUGCAUGUACUCUAUGAAUCAGCAUCGGCUAACUCCGUGCCAGCGGCCGCGGUAAUACGGAGGAUGCGAGCGUUAUCCGGAGUUAUUGGGUUUAAAGGGUGCUUAGGUUGUUUUUUAAGUCAGCGGGUAAAGUUUGUGGCUCAACCAUAAAAGUGCCGUUGAAACUGGAAGACUUGAGUGGGUGUGAGGUAGGCGGAAUGCGUGGUGUAGCGGUGAAAUGCAUAGAUAUAACGCAGAACUCCGAGUGCGAAGGCAGCUUACUAAGCCAUAACUGACACUGAAGCACGAAAGCGUGGGUAUCAAACAGGAUUAGAUACCCGUGUAGUC